rnacentral:rRNA from 1 species
UACAGAGGGUGCGAGCGUUGUCCGGAAUCACUGGGCGUAAAGGGCGCGUAGGCGGCCGGGUAAGUAGGGGGUGAAAUCCCACAGCUCAACUGUGAGGCUGCCUUCUAGACUGCUUGGCUCGAGCACGGUAGAGGCUGGUGGAAUUCCCGGUGUAGCGGUGGAAUGCGUAGAGAUCGGGAAGAACAUCGGUGGCGAAGGCGGCCAGCUGGGCCGUUGCUGACGCUGAGGCGCGAAAGCGUGGGGAGCAAACAGGAUUAGAAACCCCCGUAGUCC